rnacentral:rRNA from 1 species
AGAGUUCGUUCCUGGCUCAGAUUGAACGCUGGCGGCAGGCCUAACACUUGCAAGUCGAGCGGUAGAGAGAAGCUUGCUUUUCUUGAGAGCGGCGGACGGGUGAGUAAUGCCUAGGAAUCUGCCUGGUAGUGGGGGAUAACGUUCGGAAACGGACGCUAAUACCGCAUACGUCCUACGGGAGAAAGCAGGGGACCUUCGGGCCUUGCGCUAUCAGAUGAGCCUAGGUCGGAUUAGCUAGUUGGUGAGGUAAUGGCUCACCAAGGCGACGAUCCGUAACUGGUCUGAGAGGAUGAUCAGUCACACUGGAACUGAGACACGGUCCAGACUCCUACGGGAGGCAGCAGUGGGGAAUAUUGGACAAUGGGCGAAAGCCUGAUCCAGCCAUGCCGCGUGUGUGAAGAAGGUCUUCGGAUUGUAAAGCACUUUAAGUUGGGAGGAAGGGCAGUAAAUUAAUACUUUGCUGUUUUGACGUUACCGACAGAAUAAGCACCGGCUAACUCUGUGCCAGCAGCCGCGGUAAUACAGAGGGUGCAAGCGUUAAUCGGAAUUACUGGGCGUAAAGCGCGCGUAGGUGGUUUGUUAAGUUGGAUGUGAAAUCCCCGGGCUCAACCUGGGAACUGCAUUCAAAACUGACUGACUAGAGUAUGGUAGAGGGUGGUGGAAUUUCCUGUGUAGCGGUGAAAUGCGUAGAUAUAGGAAGGAACACCAGUGGCGAAGGCGACCACCUGGACUAAUACUGACACUGAGGUGCGAAAGCGAGGGGAGCAAACAGGAUUAGAUACCCUGGUAGUCCACGCCGUAAACGAUGUCAACUAGCCGUUGGAAGCCUUGAGCUUUUAGUGGCGCAGCUAACGCAUUAAGUUGACCGCCUGGGGAGUACGGCCGCAAGGUUAAAACUCAAAUGAAUUGACGGGGGCCCGCACAAGCGGUGGAGCAUGUGGUUUAAUUCGAAGCAACGCGAAGAACCUUACCAGGCCUUGACAUCCAAUGAACUUUCUAGAGAUAGAUUGGUGCCUUCGGGAACAUUGAGACAGGUGCUGCAUGGCUGUCGUCAGCUCGUGUCGUGAGAUGUUGGGUUAAGUCCCGUAACGAGCGCAACCCUUGUCCUUAGUUACCAGCACGUCAUGGUGGGCACUCUAAGGAGACUGCCGGUGACAAACCGGAGGAAGGUGGGGAUGACGUCAAGUCAUCAUGGCCCUUACGGCCUGGGCUACACACGUGCUACAAUGGUCGGUACAGAGGGUUGCCAAGCCGCGAGGUGGAGCUAAUCCCACAAAACCGAUCGUAGUCCGGAUCGCAGUCUGCAGCUCGACUGCGUGAAGUCGGAAUCGCUAGUAAUCGCGAAUCAGAAUGUCGCGGUGAAUACGUUAACGGGCCUUGUACACCCCGCCCGUC